CGGCGACGACGUCCGCCGGAUCGGCGGCGCCGUUCAGAGCCGCCAGCAGGUCCGGUUCGAGCCCGGGGUCGCAGGC
rnacentral:tRNA from 1 species